rnacentral:rRNA from 1 species
AUUGAACGCUGGCGGCAUGCCUAACACAUGCAAGUCGAACGAGUGGCGGACGGGUGAGUAAUGUCUGGGAAACUGCCCGAUGGAGGGGGAUAACUACUGGAAACGGUGGCUAAUACCGCAAACCAUCCUAUGUGCCCAGAUGGGAUUAGCUAGUGGGUGGGGUAACGGCUCACCAAGGCGACGAUCCCUAGCUGGGCUGCGAGGAUGACCAGCCACACUGGAACUGAGACACGGUCCAGACUCCUACGGGAGGCAGCAGUGGGGAAUAUUGCACAAUGGGCGAAAGCCUGAUGCAGCAAUGCCGCGUGUAUGAAGAAGGCCUUCGGGUUGUAAAGUACUUUUAGCGGAGAAGCGGUACUCGCAGAAGAAGCACCGGCUAACUCCGUGCCAGCAGCCGCGGUAAUUC